rnacentral:rRNA from 1 species
GAGGAAUAUUGGUCAACGGAGGCAACUCUGAACCAGCCAUGCCGCGUGCAGGAAGACGGUUCUAUGGAUUGUAAACUGCUUUUGUACAGGAAGAAAUUAUCCCUCGUGAGGGAGCUUGACAGUACUGUAAGAAUAAGGAUCGGCUAACUCCGUGCCAGCAGCCGCGGUAAUACGGAGGAUCCAAGCGUUAUCCGGAAUCAUUGGGUUUAAAGGGUCCGUAGGCGGAUUAGUAAGUCAGGGGUGAAAGUUUGCGGCUUAACCGUAAAAUUGCCUUUGAUACUGCUAGUCUUGAAUAAUUAUGAAGUAGCUAGAAUAUGUAGUGUAGCGGUGAAAUGCUUAGAUAUUACAUGGAAUACCGAUUGCGAAGGCAGGUUACUAAUAAUUUAUUGACGCUGAUGGACGAAAGCGUGGGUAGCGAAC